ACUUGAAUAGCUUAUUUAGAGCAUGAUAUUGAAGAUAUCAAGGUAAUUUAGAUUUUCAGGUA
rnacentral:tRNA from 1 species